rnacentral:lncRNA from 1 species
AAUUAAAGACUAUGAAUAAAGCACCUAGUAUAUUUCUUGGAACAGGUAGGCACCAGGAUAAACAGUAUUGCUGCUCUGAAGACAGCUUGAGUAACACUGUUCUUGGACAUUGAUGGGCUUGUCUAAUUAAGGGAGAAAAAUCGAUCUUCUGUGAGAACACAUUGAGCUAAUAUGGAAAGAGAAGCAGAGAAGACAGAUGAUAAGAACGUCUUGAUGCUGGUUGAGUCUCCUCUGCAUCCAGUCAUUCCUGAAGCCAGCUCUGAUUCUUCCCCCUCCA